rnacentral:lncRNA from 1 species
CCACUCUGCUGAAAUUAGAGGAGAAAAAAAUAGGGAGUCUCGCUGUGUCGCGCAGACUGGAGUGCAGUGGUGCGAUCUGCACACUGCAACCUCCACCUCCUGAGAUCAAGCAAUUCUCCUGCCUCAACCUCACGGGUAGCUGGGAUUACAGACGUGCAUCACCACGCCCAGCUAAUUUUUGUAUUUUUAAUAGAGACAGGUUUUCACCAUGUUGGCCAGGUUGGUCUCAAACUCCCGACCUCAGGUGAUCCACCCGCCUCGGCCUCCCAAAGUGCUGGGAUUACAGGCAUGAGCCACCGGGCGGUUUCCAUGUGUGAUCUUUAAAAGGCAGAAACAAAUAAGCAAAAAUCAUUACUAAAGGCCCACGAGGGUUGUUUCUAUCUUAGAAAAUGUGUAAAGAAAAGUGAUACAACAAUAAAUGGUUUGAUUUAAUGAGAAGUCAAAAAUCAUAAGAUCUGUUGAAAAUAACAAAAUCACUUCUAAAAAAGAUAAUAUGUUUUAUUGAAAUAAAGCCUUAGAAGUCAUCUGGUUUUACCUUUUACAAAGAAGAAAGCAGUCUAAGAGAGGCCAAAUGACUUAUCCCAAGCUAUACGGCUAGGUAGUAGCAGAUUCAAAUUUAUACUACCCAGGCUUCCUAAUUCUUAGCCCAGAGCUGUGUCCACCCUACCACCCACCUUUUAAUUCAGUGCGAGCUCAAUUAUUGCUAACAGUUUUAUUGUUGACCUUCCAUGGACUCGAUAGUCAAAUCAAGUCUUCCAUUACAAUAAAUGGGAUUUAUUUG